GACGAGGUACCAAAGCAGAAUAUUACUACUAAGUCUGUUUUCAUUUCUAUUUAAGAAAAACAAACAAACAAACAAAACCACCAAGAAAAAAAACAAACCACCAACCACCUUAUAUAAUAUGACAAGAAUCCUCAAGUUUAAGGAUCCACUACAGAACCCUGCUGCAGCACAGCUCCCUCUUGUCCAUUUCACUGGAAGCCUGAAAACAUCAAGAGCAUUCCGUAAAACCUUAUCACCUACAAAUGUGUUUACAGGCAACUGUCAGUUUUUAUUAAGGAGUACAGUUCUGACAAUGGUAAGGAAACGCUAGAAAACACAAAUCCUGAAAGUCAAAAUUAAGCAAAAUGAAAGCAAAUGAAUCACCUCCUCUUUGUAACCUGAUGAUUUUUGUGGAACUCACCUACUGUGAUGACAUAGGUCUUACAGAUGUUAAAAAAAAAAUUAUUUUAAAAGGAUAUCUAAAAGGGUUAAACAUUUGCAGAUAUUAUGAAAACUGAAGUCAGAGAAAAAGUUCAGUCAAAAAAUUCUACAAAAGCCCCCAAAUCCAACAAACUCACGAGAUUAAAUAUGUUUUUAUUUCUAAUAAUCCACUGAAAUUUUCAUAAUUAGGUCUGCCAACAGCUUACCUUCCCUGCUUUGCAACAUAACCAUAAACAAUAAGAUAGUUUGCAGAUAAUAUAAAUUUUUUGCAAAGUCAUACUGAAAGACAACUGUGAAGAGUUACAAAAGCAUCACAUGAUAAUGAGAACACUGGAUGAUAAAAUGACAUCAGUUUAACAUAAUGAUAGGCAAAAAAAAAGCAGAUGAGAGGAAAAACAGACAAGUAAUGAAUAGUAUAUACACAGCACUAGGUUCAAACAAGACACUGCUACAGAGGAAAGAUCAUAUGGACAUUACAAGCAAUUCAAUGAAGACUUCUGCAAAAUACUCAGCAGUUGAUGGAGUAUAAAGCAAGCAAAACAUUUGGCACUAUCAAAGGAAAACAGAAAAGAAUUACACUACUGUGUAUAGUCAUGGAGCACGUAACUCUGGAAUGAUAAAAGGGUAAGAGAACAGCAACAGCACCAUCAGCACUAUGGAAAGGCUUACACAUACAAAGAGGCAACAGCAAGGCUUUUGACAACAGAAAGAAUAUGAAAUUCAUACAGCCUGAUGACAAGGACUACCAGAUUUUGACAAGGAUGCAGGGGCCACUCAGUGAUUUACCACUGGGGAAGCCAUACAAAAGACAGCUAUCUUUGCAUACAGCAAACUGCAGGAGGGUGAAGUUAAAUGACAGGUGACAUGCUGAAGGUCAAAAAUGCGAACAAGUUAAAAAAUAACUUUUUGGCUUAAAAAAUCAGAUUAUUCAAAUAGUCAUCAGAAUCAACAACAGCUACUGUGGUUGAGAAGGAAAGGCCUCCUCAGAAAGCCUCUCACCCCUGGUGACUUGAGCCACGUGCCAGUCAAGGUACACACUGCUGUCCUCAGCUUACCCUUCUGCCUUCUCCACCUCAGGAUGGCAGCUCCUUACAAGCAGCAUAGUUCCGCAACCAAAGUUGGCUACAGCUCCAUAGGGACAGGCUGAUCCUCAAGCCCUCCUGUGAGAAACUCAACACUUUCGUCUCCUAUUUCAAACAAAAGGAUUCCACAGGUGGUAGACUCAUCCCAUGUAGCUUCAAGCAGCUAAAUGCAUCACCGGCAACCAAAAAGCAUGAUCUCCUUCAGCCUUCUCGUGCCACUGGGGAGACAGGCACCUCCAAUGACGAUAUCCAGAACAUGAAGGCACAGCCUUAUCUCCUGGGGCCACCAAAGCCGUCUAGUCUGACCUAACUGGAUGGACACACGCCCCACUGCCACGCAAGGACUGGCAGGUAACACCAGCAACUGUGCCACCUGCUCUGCACGCCAGAGGAAUCAUUUACCAACAUGGGAAGGCAAACAAAGCCUUGCAGAAACACAUUUGUUCUCAGGCCUUAUUUCCUUGCCUUUUGGUUGUGCCCUCCUCUUCAAGAGACUGGGGAAAGAAGUUGGGACAGAACAAGAGUGGAAAACCAGAGAGAUGAAAGGGACUGCAUCCCUAAUGCCCCAUGGAAAGUGUCCAAAGACUUCCAUCUCCACGGGCAAGGGCAAGGUUCUGUUUUGCUGCUGAGACAAAGACCUGGAAAGGACAGGGGAAACACUCAGCUAAACUACAAUGUGAAAAACUCUCCCAGCUUUCCUUCAAGAGCACAAGGAAUUACAGUGAAGUCAAAAAUGCCCAUACUUUUACGACAGGUGCAAACCUCAGAAAAUGUUCUGCAGUGAGUGUCCGUCUCCUUCAGCCAUCCGUCCGUAUGCGGCUGGAAAGGCACCAGCCCCACAGUGUGACUGAGCAUGUAAUGGGCUCAAGUUACAGGAGAUUAGCAGGAUUUCCCCUGUAACUGCUGCUCCCAUCUGCCAGAGACCAGACAUUGGAGCUGACAGCAGGAAGACAACCUCGCCUGUUGCUCUCAUGACCCUUCGGCUGGUGCCCCAGGGACAUGCAUGAGACCAGCCCUGGAGGGCACAUGGCAGAGGGGGUGUCAGAAAAGUCAGGGGGGCCAAAGCAUGACACGAAGCUGGACAAA